rnacentral:ncRNA from 1 species
GGAGAGUAUUAGAUUUUCUUAAUGUUCUGUACACAAACUAGCAACUCGGCAACAGGACGUUGCCGAGAGCGAGACCUGAGCCAAGGAUGGCGACUGUCUCGCGUUUGCGUCAAACAGCCAAAACUUUCAUCAGAACAUUUAGAAAAUCUUAUGUUCGGA